UACAGAGGCCUCGAGCGUUAGGCGGAAUCACUGGGCUUAAAGCGUGUGUAGGCGGACUUCUAAGUGCCUUGUGAAAUCCCACGGCUCACCCGUGGAACUACUGGGCAUACUGGGAGUCUUGAGCCACCUAGGGGCGAGCGGAACAAAUGGUGGAGCGGUGAAAUGCGUAGAUAUCAUUUGGAACGCCAACGGAGAAAUCAGCUCGCUGGGGGUGUGCUGACGCUGAGACACGAAAGCCAGGGGAGCGAACGGG
rnacentral:rRNA from 1 species